rnacentral:rRNA from 1 species
GACGAACGCUGGCGGUGUGCUUAACACAUGCAAGUCGAACGGUAAGGCCCUUUCGGGGGUGCACGAGUGGCGAACGGGUGAGUAACACGUGAGUAACCUGCCCUCAUCUCUGGGAUAACAGUCGGAAACGGUUGCUAAUACUGGAUAUGAGCUUGCAAGGCAUCUUGUGGGUUGGAAAGAUUUUUUUUGGUUGGGGAUGGACUCGCGGCCUAUCAGCUUGUUGGUGAGGUAGUGGCUCACCAAGGCUUCGACGGGUAGCCGGCCUGAGAGGGCGACCGGCCACAUUGGGACUGAGAUACGGCCCAAACUCCUACGGGAGGCAGCAGUGGGGAAUAUUGCACAAUGGACGGAAGUCUGAUGCAGCAACGCCGCGUGCGGGAUGACGGCCUUCGGGUUGUAAACCGCUUUCAAUUGUGACGAAGCUUUUUUGUGACGGUAGCAGUAGAAGAAGCACCGGCUAACUACGUG